rnacentral:rRNA from 1 species
CCCUGCCUACGGACGCAGCAGUGGGGAAUAUUGCACAAUGGGGGAAACCCUGAUGCAGCGACGCCGCGUGAGUGAAGAAGUAUCUCGGUACGUAAAGCUCUAUCAGCAGGGAAGAAAAUGACGGUACCUGACCAAGAAGCCCCGGCUAACUACGUGCCAGCAGCCGCGGUAAUACGCAGGGGGCAAGAGUUAUCCGGAUUUACUGGGUGUAAAGGGAGCGUAGACGGCAGCACAAGUCUGGAGUGAAAUCCCGGGGCUUAACCCCGGAACUGCUUUGGAAACUGUGCGGCUGGAGUGCAGGAGGG